rnacentral:rRNA from 1 species
GUGGGUCCGUUCCCCGUUCGGGGGACGAGGGUGACGAGGUGGUGCAUGGUUGUCGUCAGCCCGUGUCGUGAGAUGUUCGGUUAAGUCCGCUAACGAGCGCAACCCUCGCUGUGUGUUAUAUGUGUCACACAGGACUGCUGGUAUUAAGCCGGAGGAAGGUGGGACGACGUCAAGUCAGCAUGACCUUUAUAUCCAGGGCUACACACACGCUACAAUGGUCAGUACAAUGGGUUGCCAAGCCGCGAGGCGGAGCCAAUCCUAAAAAGCUGGCCUCAGUUCAGAUUGCAGUCUGAAACUCGACUGCAUGAAGUCGGAGUUGCUAGUAAACGCAGGUCAGCUAUACUGCGUUGAAUACGUUCCCGGGGCUU